UACGUAGGGCGCAAGCGUUGUCCGGAAUUAUUGGGCGUAAAGAGCUCGUAGGCGGUCUGUCGCGUCGGAUGUGAAAACUCGGGGCUUAACCCCGAGCCUGCAGUGGAUACGGGCAGACUAGAGGUAGGUAGGGGAGAAUGGAAUUCCCGGUGUAGCGGUGAAAUGCGCAGAUAUCGGGAGGAACACCGGUGGCGAAGGCGGUUCUCUGGGCCUUACCUGACGCUGAGGAGCGAAAGCGUGGGGAGCGAACAGG
rnacentral:rRNA from 1 species